CUUCAGGGUCUGGGGUGGUUGUGAAGAUCCCACACAAGCCCCCAAAUGAAGGAUCCUGGAAGGGAGACCCUUACUCAAGUCUCGGGAAAUCGCAGUCCCAAGACACAGAGAGACCA
rnacentral:pre_miRNA from 14 species